rnacentral:rRNA from 1 species
UGGGGAAUAUUGCACAAUGGGGGAAACCCUGAUGCAGCGACGCCGCGUGAGCGAAGAAGGUUUUCGAAUCGUAAAGCUCUGUCCUAUGGGAAGAUAAUGACGGUACCAUAGGAGGAAGCCCCGGCUAACUACGUGCCAGCAGCCGCGGCAAUACGUAGGGGGCAAGCGUUGUCCGGAAUCACUGGGCGUAAAGGGUUCGCAGGCGGAAAUGCAAGUCAGUUGUGAAAGGCAGAGGCUCAACCUCUGUAAGCAAUUGAAACUGUAUUUCUUGCGAUGUGGAGAGGCAAGUGGAAUUCCUAGUGUAGCGGUGAAAUGCGUAGAUAUUAGGAAGAAUACCGGUGGCGAAGGCGACUUGCUGGACACAAACUGACGCUGAGGAACGAAAGCGUGGGUAGCAAACAGG